GACGAACGCUGGCGGCGUGCUUAACACAUGCAAGUCGAACGAAGAGCGACGGAAGCUUGCUUCUAUCAAUCUUAGUGGCGAACGGGUGAGUAACGCGUAAUCAACCUGCCCUUCAGAGGGGGACAACAGUUGGAAACGACUGCUAAUACCGCAUACGAUCUAAUCUCGGCAUCGAGGAUAGAUGAAAGGUGGCCUCUACA
rnacentral:rRNA from 1 species